rnacentral:lncRNA from 1 species
AGCAGGCAGCCUGCCAUGGGGCCCUGCUCUGGGGCCAGUCCCUCUGCUGGGACUCAGGGCUCCUGGGAUUCAUCAAUCUCCUCCUCAGUGUCUGCAGCACAACAGCCAACACUUCUGGAGCACAUGGCCCUGCAGUGAAGGAUUCUGGAGCUCACAUUUGUCUGAAGGGGAUCCGAGGAGGUUCUGUGUUGUUGAAUGUGAUUGAGAAGCUCAGAGUAGAUGUAGACGCCGAGCUGGAGGAGGUUGUAUGGACUUUGGGUACUCUGUCAAAUCAUACACAGGUGCUGUGAGUCCACAGGGGGGCCGACUCUCCAACCUGGGUCGGCCUUGAGGAAAAGUUCAAGCAGAGGGUCCAUGUGCCUAGCGUGUUGUCUCUGAGGAUUGAGAACCUGGCCCCUGAAGACAGUGGGCAGUACAUGGCCAUGAUCCAUUUAACUGGGGGACAAUUAUCUGGCCAGGUUUUCUACCUCACUGUCUAUGAGCCUGUGCCUCAUCCUGAGAUCCUGGCCAAGUCACUGUCUAUCAUACCAGGCUUGUGUAACAUCACCCUGGAUUGUAGGGCUCCAGGAGCCACAGAGGACCUGAAUGUGACUUGGGAGAGCAAGGACCUCCUCAGAGAGCUGGAGCACAGAGAAACACGAGGACCAGCCCCUAACCCCUGGAUCCUGGCUGUGGACCUGCCCCUGAGCCAGCGGAACAGCAAUCUCACCUGUGUGGUCAGCAACUAGGUAGAUCAGAAAGAUGUAACCUUACCUUGGGGAAGCCUGUGUCAAGGUUCAUGUAGACUGGACACGGCUCUCCUUCGCGAGAUAUUCUUGGAGUCAUUGCAUUUGUGCUGUUGAUCCUGGGAGCUGGGCUAUACCUCUGGAAGAAAUGUGGGAAGAAGAAGAAGAAGAAAGAUGAAGAGGAAGAAGAGGAAGAGGAGCAGAAGGAGGAGGAGGAGCGGGAGGAGACAGGAAUAGGCAGGUUGCAUUUCUCCAUCGAGGCCCAGAUAUCUCCCCUCCCCCACUAGAAUCUGGGUUCUCUUUCUCCUGAAAGAAUGUCAUUGUUUAGCUAUAUGAAUAACCCUAGAUAUAGCAUCGAGUUAACAUGUCCAAGAUAUUUGUUACUGGAAAAAACUGAACAGCAAUGCAUGGUAUGAUUUAAUUUUUGUAAAAGUGUAUAGAUAGGUAGAUAGAAAGAUAAGCACAGAAUAAAAUCUAUACUACAUGACAGAUUACCAACAGUGGCUCACUCAGAGGUGAGGAAUUCCUCAAGGUUUGCUUCUUUUUAGUUUAUAUAUAUAAUGUAAUAUUUUAUGUUAUUUGAAUCUUUUACAAUGCUCAGUCACUGUGAAGUCAAAGGAAACAAUUAAGACAAUUUUGUAGCUUAAUUCCAUUUAGCUAAUUAAUCCCCAUCUCUGUGGAUGCACCUCAUCUUUUCUGCUGACUGUGACAUGGGGUAAAGACCAAACUCUAUUCCACCCCAUGCAGACACCAUAUACCUUUCCAGUUGCCAUGAACAAAUGAGAACAAAUUCAUGUAAAACAAAGCGAUUCAUUCUUUAUACACAUCUGGGAGGGAAAGCAGCUCCAGAAAAGGCCAUCUCUCAGGAUGAGGGCAAGGGCGGGAUUUCCUAUAGGAAAGCAACAAAGUUUCAGGAGGAAAAGCAAAUCAGUUAAAUCAGUGCCUGACUUGUCAGAGAGCAUUGGUUGAUGUCUGACACUCAGCUUUAGGCAUGGCGGAGCCCCAAGUACAUUUGUGAAGUUUGGGCAGUUGUGUUCCCAUUCUCCAUCAAGCUGUUGCUGUUGUCGUUGUUUUUAUUCCCACCAAUGUCUGGAGCCCCAGGUGCCCUGGUUCCUUCUUGGGGCCUUGACUGCUUUAUCCUUACCUUCCAGAUUCAAUCUUCAGCAGCAGGCAAGUCCUCAGGCUGCAGCUCAGGGCUCGGGAAAUUUCCUUCCUCAGCCCAUGCCCAGGAGCCUACACCCACCCUGUACCUUUCCCCCAUGAUAGCCCUUUCUGGAAAACCUUUCCCUGUACCUCCACUUUGGAAUUAGGGUGCAAUAAGACCACAUACUUGCCACAAAAGGUAUAUAGUUUUUUUAAUUGUACCUAUGAAGCAGCUUUUCUUUCCUUAUUUUAUUUGUAUUGUGCAGUAGUUGUACAUUUUUAAAAAGGAAAAAUGGUGCAAAACAGCAAUCCCUUGCCCUUCCUUCUCCACAUCUAGACUGGCUCUUCAAUGAGAGUCACUUUCAACUAUAGCCUUUACGUCCAAGUUUCUCAAUAAUGUGCUGAUGUUAUUAUCUUCAGUUCAAUUUUAGGCACUAACUAUUGACUUUUCAUUAUGAUAAGUGAGGAUUUUCCUCUCUCACAUGUCUUCCCUCCUUUAUCCUCCAUCCAACUAAUAUAGAUAUGUGACAUUUUUGGUUUAAAUCAAUAGUAUUUAUAGUCUACAAUUCUACAAACAGCUAAAAUUAUUUAGCAUUUUUAUUGUAGGCCAGACACCAUUCUAAGGUGCCUUACAUCCAAUUACUAAUUUAACAUGUCACCAUCUCUAUCAUAUAUUAUAAUUAUCUCCAUUUUACAGAUGAGGAAAUUGAAACAUCUCUUGGUAAUUUGUGCAGCGUUCUGAAUCUAGGAGGUGGCACAGUUGGGAUUAGAAGCCAGGUAGUCCGGCUCCAGCAUCCAUGCUUUCAACUGCUAGGCAAUCCCCAAACUGAAGCCUGCUAUUGGGAGCUUACUAUUGUUCUUGCUGCUAGGGAUACAGAAGUGAACGAGACAAAUACCCAGCUCUCAUAGAGCUUGCAUUUCAGGAGGACACUGGAAAUGAACAAAUGCCCAAGUAGAGAGAGAAGGUCAGGUGGUGGCCAGUGGGUGGAGAUGAAGCAAGCGGAGGGAAGCAGGAGGGCAGCUCUUUUCUGUGGAUGCUCAGGGAAAGCCUCUUUGGAGAGGGAGCAUUUUAGGCCUGAGUCGAGUGUAAGAACGAUUUCAGUGAGCAGGAAGAGCCUUCCAGGCAGAGGAAAGGGCAUGUGCAGAUGCCUUCAGCUAAGGCUGGGCUGAAGUGCUGCAGAAGCAGUCACAAGGCCCCCGUGGCUGGAGUCAGUGAUGAAGGGGACCUUGAACUGAGGUGGGAGAGUGGCCUGGGCCUUCCUGUGUUAGGGUUAGGGAACUGAGAUAGCUGAGGUGGGAGAGUGGCCUGGGCCUGACUGUGGUGGGGUCUGGGAACCGGGAGAGCUGAGGUGGGAGAGAGGCCUGGGGUCAUAUCUUGUUGGUCCUGGAAAGCCAAGGUAAGGGCAUGGAUUUUUUUUUUUUUUCCAGAUGGAGCCUCCCCCUGUCACCCAGGGUGGGGUGCAGUGGCACAAUCUUAGUUCACUGCAACCUCUGCCUCCUGGGUUCAAGCAAUUCUCCUGCCUCAGCCUCCCUAGUACCUGGGACUACAGGUGCGCGCCACUGCGCCUGGCUAAUUUUUGUAUUUUUAGUUGAGACGGGGUUUCACCAUGUUGGCCAGGCUGGUCUCGAACUCCUGAUCUCGUGAUCUGCCUGUCUCCACCUCCCAAAGUGCUGGGAUUACAGGCGUGAGCCUCCUCUGUGCCCGGCCAAGGACAUGGAUUUUAUUGUCAGUGGGACGGGGGUGUUGACAGAGGAUUGUGAGCAGCAGAGGAGGAUAGUGUGACAUUGAUUUAAAGGCCCACACUUUUGGCGUGUGUUGAACCCACUGCUUGGCAUCCAGGCUGGAGCCAGGGAGGCAGCUGAGGAGGCCCAGCAGGAAUCCAGGAUGAGACACUGGUAGCUUGGCCUAGAGUGGAAGUGGUGAGAGGUGGGCUAAUUCAUGACACAUUUUGGAGAGUCAACAGGAUUUGCUGUCGGGUUGGAUGUGGAGUAUGAGAGGACAAGGAGUCCAGGGCGACCCCAAGGAUUGUGGCCUGAGUGCUGGGGGGAUGAUGGUGCUGUUUACCGUGGUGGGGAGUGCUGGGGAAGGAGCAGGUUGGAGUGAGACUUUGAGAUGCACCAAGGCCUCCAGGGGAACUGUGCAGGCAUUUGGGCAUAUGAGUGUGGGCUCGGGGGGAAGGUGAGCGUAGGCAGGGGAGUCAUGAGAGCAGGGACCGGGUGCUGGAAUGGUUAGAGGGUGUGAAGACAAGACUGAGAAGGAGCAAUCAGUGACACAGGAGGAAAGUCAGGUGAGUCUGGCAUCCAGGGAGCCAAGUAAAGAGAGUUUUUCUUGAGGAAUGGAGUGAUGCAUUGUGCCCGAGCUUGCUGAGGGUCCAGCAGGGUGAUGCCCGAGAGCAGCCCGCUGGAGUCAGCUGGGGGAACGCAUGGGGACCUCCCAAUGGCCAGCGAAUUCUGUGGAUUCAGCAUCAUUCUCCUUCCUCAGAGAAGGCGUCCCUGAUCCUUAUGCCUCCUCCUCUGCCAGUAUCUGCACUUUCCCCUCUCUGUAUUUCUCAUGAUAGAUAGAAAUUUUGGCAUUUCCUUGUUUAAUGCCUCUCCUCCACUCGACUGCACAUGGCAUGGACAGGAGCACGCACGCUGCACUCAUCUGAGUCCCCAGUACGUAGCGCUGUGCUUGGAACACAGGCCGUGCUCAGUGACUAUCUCAGGAAUGGAUGUGGAGUCAGCCCCCAUGAACGGGGACUCCGAACAGAGCCCAAUCAGUUUUCAGUUCUGCUUUCGUAGAGUCAGCAGUGGGAACAGGGUUUUUGUUUGGGACCUAACAUUCCUGGGUAAGAGAGGGGAGAAGCCUCACACACAGACCUGGCCGGCCUCUGUGGAAAUGAUGUCUGGACAUGCCUGAGUAUCUGACAGGAGCUGUGGUAACAAGAAAGAACAUGGGCUCAGGAGUGGCAGCACUUUAAAUAAGAUAACCUUUAUAUUUUAUAAAAGUUUUUCAUUUACAGAAACAUUGGGCAGAUAGUACCGAGAGUCCCACAGACUCCACACCUAGUUUCACCUUUUAUCAACAUCUUAUGCUAUUAACAUCUGUUACAAUUAAUAAACCGAUAUGGAUACAUUCUUAUGAACUCAAGUCCAUACUUUCUUCAGACGUCCUUAGUUUUUACGCGAUGUCCUUUUCUGUUCCCAGAUCCCACCCUACAUACCUCUUUAGGCUCCUCUGGGCUGUGACAGCUACUCAGACUUUCCUUGUUUUCGCUGACAUUCGUGAGGGGUACUGGUCAGGUGUUUUGAAGAAUGUUCCUCAAUUGGGAUUUGCCUGAUGUUUCUCUCAUGAUGAGACUUGGAAUUUAGGUUUUGGGGAGGAGGAUGACAGAGGUAAAGUGCCAUUUUCAUCGCAUCAUUUGAGGGUGCAUGCUGUCAUCGUGACAUUACUAUUGAUGCUGACCUCAACUAUCUUGACAAAGGUAAAGCUUGCUGAGUUUCAUCCAUUGUAAAGUGACUCGUUUUUCCCCUCUUCCACACUGUUCUCUUUGAAAAGAAGUCACCGUGUGCAGCCCAGACUUAAAGAGUAGGGAGUUAAACUUUACCUCCUUGAGAGUGGAAUGUCUUCACACAUUACUUGGAAUUUUCUGCACAGAAGAUUUUUUCUCCAUUUACUUGUUUCCCAUUUAUUUAUUCAAUCAAUCAUUCCCCUUUUUUAAUUUCUUUAUUUCUUUCUUUAUUCAAUCAAUCAUUUAUUUGUAUCAGUAUAAAGUCAUUGAUAUGUAUUUUAUGCUUCGGGCUAUAAUCCAAAGCCACUAUAUUUAUUUUGUAGCUCAGAUUGUUCCAGUUUGGCCAUUUGGUGCCGUGUUCUUUUGACACAGCCUCAUCACUGUGUGCCUUUUUUUUUGAGGACUUUCUUACUUGGAC